AGAUAGAGGCGCGAUGUGUCAAAAGUAUCAGUCAAUGCUAAUCUCGGCGGAGAGAUGUGACUGUGAAAGGGGCAGUCGCCGAAAGAAACUGUCGGCAGGCAGUUUUCUUGGUAAUUCGGAAUAAUAUCCGCUUUACUGUCGCAUUUGCGGAGUGCUAUCA
rnacentral:ncRNA from 1 species